UGGGGAAUAUUGCACAAUGGGCGAAAGCCUGAUGCAGCGACGCCGCGUGAGGGAUGACGGCCUUCGGGUUGUAAACCUCUUUCAGCAGGGACGAAGCGCAAGUGACGGUACCUGCAGAAGAAGCACCGGCUAACUCUGUGCC
rnacentral:rRNA from 1 species